rnacentral:rRNA from 1 species
UACGUAGGUGGCAAGCGUUGUCCGGAAUUAUUGGGCGUAAAGCGCGCGCAGGCGGUCCUUUAAGUCUGAUGUGAAAGCCCACGGCUCAACCGUGGAGGGGCAUUGGAAACUGGGGGACUUGAGUACAGAAGAGAAGAGUGGAAUUCCACGUGUAGCGGUGAAAUGCGUAGAGAUGUGGAGGAACACCAGUGGCGAAGGCGACUCUUUGGGCUGUAACUGACGCUGAGGCGCGAAAGCGUGGGGAGCAAACAGG